rnacentral:rRNA from 1 species
GACGAACGCUGGCGGCGUGCCUAACACAUGCAAGUCGAACGAAGCUCGAAGCUUUGAGAUUUCGGUCAAGAAGCCUAGAUGACUUAGUGGCGAACGGGUGAGUAAUGCGUGAGCAACCUGCCUUUCAGAGGGGGACAACAGCUGGAAACGGCUGCUAAUACCGCAUAACACAUUUGGGUGGCAUCACCUGGAUGUCAAAGGAGCAAUCCGCUGAGAGAUGGGCUCACGUCUGAUUAGCUAGUUGGUGAGGUAACGGCUCACCAAGGCGACGAUCAGUAGCCGGUCUGAGAGGAUGAACGGCCACAUUGGGACUGAGAUACGGCCCAGACUCCUACGGGAGGCAGCAGUGGGGAAUAUUGGGCAAUGGGCGAAAGCCUGACCCAGCAACGCCGCGUGAAGGAAGAAGGCUUUCGGGUUGUAAACUUCUUUUAUCAGGGACGAAGGAUGUGACGGUAC